UACGUAGGGGGCUAGCGUUGUCCGGAAUCAUUGGGCGUAAAGCGCGUGUAGGCGGUUCGGUAAGUCCGCUGUGAAAGUCGGGGGCUCAACCCUCGAAUGCCGGUGGAUACUGUCGGACUAGAGUACGGAAGAGGCGAGUGGAAUUCCUGGUGUAGCGGUGAAAUGCGCAGAUAUCAGGAGGAACACCAAUUGCGAAGGCAGCUCGCUGGGACGUUACUGACGCUGAGACGCGAAAGCGUGGGGAGCAACAGG
rnacentral:rRNA from 1 species